GGGGAAUAUUGCACAAUGGACGGAAGUCUGAUGCAGCAACGCCGCGUGGAGGAUGACGCAUUUCGGUGUGUAAACUCCUUUUAUAUAAGAAGAUAAUGACGGUAUUAUAUGAAUAAGCACCGGCUAACUCCGUGCCAGCAGCCGCGGUAAUACGGGGGGUGCAAGCGUUACUCGGAAUCACUGGGCGUAAAGAGCGUGUAGGCGGAUUGGUAAGUUGGAUGUGAAAGCCUAUGGCUCAACCAUAGAAUUGCUUCCAAAACUGCUAGUCUAGAGUGUGGGAGAGGUAGAUGGAAUUUCUGGUGUAGGGGUAAAAUCCGUAGAGAUCAGAAGGAAUACCGAUUGCGAAGGCGAUCUACUGGAACAUAACUGACGCUGAGACGCGAAAGCGUGGGGAGCAAAC
rnacentral:rRNA from 1 species